GUCGCGAAUGGUAUUUUGUCGCUCAGAAUGAUAAUUCUGGUCGACGUUUUUCUGUUUAUCACGAGCACAGGCAAUACUUCAAAGUUCAAAACUGCAAAAUAGGCCAGAGGGAUUUUCAAUUUGGCUACUGUCACGACAAAAGUAUAUUCAAGAAAAAGCAAAUACCAAAGAAAGAAGUAAUGUAAACAACAACAGAAUUCUGUCAUUCAUCAAGGAAUUGUGUGCACACAUAGCCUACUCUUGCACACUUAUUGCAAGACGGCGUUGCAAGUUCUAUCAACGAAUGAAACUAAUAACAUUAUUAAUACGAAUGUUUCAUGUCAACAUUAAUUCAAUCUAUGGCACACAUUCAAUAGAAAAGUUAGUACUUGUGCGAUGCUAUAAAAAACAAAAUCCGUAGAAUCGCAGUGUAUGAAUUUACUUCGAAAAUAUUGAGUGAUACUUGUGAACGGAAUAAAUAUGAAGAAUAGAUUAUCAAAAGGUGUUGAAAAUACAAUUGGAGCGCUUUAAACUACUCAGAAGGCUUAUGGAGUUAUAAUUUACUUUGGAAUCUAAUGGAAUAAAAUCUGUCACAAAGUAAAUCUCUGUUGUUUCAAGUUUCCUAAAGAAAAAUGUAGCAUACCGAAUAAAGAUAAUACAAAAAUAUUAUUCAGAUAUAAAAAUUAAAUUAAAUGUAUGUACAAUAAAAUCAAUUCAAAUUACUUACGCCAAUAAUUUAACUACAAAACGGUAUGCGUACUUGUGAUUACAACAGUGCUUGUGUUAAUGGCUCGACAAAGAAUUAACUACAUUUGGUGAAGAGAUGUUUCAGGUAAAUUGU